GCUGCACGGUGGUGCAGUGGUGAGCACCGCUGCCUCACAACAAGAAGGUUGUGUGUUCAAACCUGGCCUGGGGCC